rnacentral:rRNA from 1 species
GACGAACGCUGGCGGCGUGCUUAACACAUGCAAGUCGAACGGUAAGGCCCUUCGGGGUACACGAGUGGCGAACGGGUGAGUAACACGUGGGUGAUCUGCCCUGCACUUCGGGAUAAGCCUGGGAAACUGGGUCUAAUACCGGAUAGGACCACUGCCUGCAUGGGUGGUGGUGGAAAGCUUUUGCGGUGUGGGAUGGGCCCGCGGCCUAUCAGCUUGUUGGUGGGGUGAUGGCCUACCAAGGCGACGACGGGUAGCCGGCCUGAGAGGGUGACCGGCCAAACUGGGACUGAGAUAUGGCCCAGACUCCUACGGGAGGCAGCAGUGGGGAAUACUGCACAAUGGGCGCAAGCCUGAUGCAGCGACGCCGCGUGAGGGAUGACGGCCUUCGGGUUGUAAACCUCUUUCAGCACCGACGAAGCGCAAGUGACGGUAGGUGCAGAAGAAGGACCGGCCAACUACGUGCCAGCAGCCGCCGUAA